CCUACGGGUGGCAGCAGUGAGGAAUAUUGGUCAAUGGACGAGAGUCUGAACCAGCCAAGUAGCGUGAAGGAUGACUGCCCUAUGGGUUGUAAACUUCUUUUAUAUGGGAAUAAAAUGUUCCACGUGUGGGAUUUUGUAUGUACCAUAUGAAUAAGGAUCGGCUAACUCCGUGCCAGCAGCCGCGGUAAUACGGUGGAUCCGAGCGUUAUCCGGAUUUAUUGGGUUUAAAGGGAGCGUAGGGGGAUUGUUAAGUCAGUUGUGAAAGUUUGCGGCUCAACCGUAAAAGUGCAGUUGAAACUGGCAGUCUUGAGUGCAGUAGAGGAGGGCGGAAUUCGUGGUGUAGCGGUGAAAUGCUUAGAUAUAACGAAGAACUCCGAUUGCGAAGGCAGCUCACUGGACUGCAACUGACGCUGAGGUUCGAAAGCGUGGGUAGCAAACAGGAUUAGAUACCCUUGUAGUC
rnacentral:rRNA from 1 species